rnacentral:misc_RNA from 1 species
GGAUGUUUAACGCAAGAGACGAUGUAAGUAUACUGUCGUUUUGUUGUUAGCAGUGUCAAAGAAGAGAAGAUAAACGACAGUAAGUUUUGUUUGGGCAGUUGGAAUAUUAUUGUUGGUAUUAGGUGGGUAAUUGAAUGGGCCAAGAGGGUGAUGAAUAAUUCUGGUGUAGUGGUGUAAAAAUGGAGUGGAGUGGUGGACGGUGGAGAUGGAUGAAGCUUUAGAUUUUCAAGGGACUGUAGGGAUACUGGAGAUGGUGGGUCAAAUAUUAAAGCUAAGGAAUCAAAAUCUUUUUAUGUCACCUCACAAGUGAUGAAUUAAGCAAAUGAUAAGACCUUUGUUGCCACUUGCCAUGACAACAUAACCUUACCCAGUAAAACCUGUCGCCCACUUCUUUUGUUUGUUUUGUUAUGCUUAAGAAGAUCUAUUGAGAUAUUUAACUUGAGAUCUC